CAAAAAACGCAGUCGCCAACCGGCUGUCCACUCAGGAGGACCUCAAGCGGACACUAAAGACGCCUUCGAGACCAUGGCAGAAUCACGUAAACGUCAGCAUGAUGAACAAGAAGACGAGGUACCGCUAUAUUACCAAUUGGAAGUGCUUUUUGGUGACGCCGUCUAUAUUCCCAGGGACAAACUACAGAGUUUAUUGGUUCGAGCCACGAGAACCGUGCCUAUGACAUUAAUGAAACCAUGGCGACACUUGCGGAGUCUGAUCGAGACGUGGGAGAAGUAUCAAAUUCAAACGUGCCCGAACCAGGAUCAGGGUCUAGAGGAGAUGGAAAAAGUUUACAAUCCCCUCCACGCU